CCUAGGGGGGGCUGCAGUGGGGAAUAUUGGACAAUGGGGGCAACCCUGAUCCAGCCAUGCCGCGUGUGUGAAGAAGGCCCUCGGGUUGUAAAGCACUUUCAGUGAGGAAGAACGCCUGGUGGUUAAUACCCAUCAGGAAAGACAUCACUCACAGAAGAAGCACCGGCUAACUCCGUGCCAGCAGCCGCGGUAAUACGGAGGGUGCGAGCGUUAAUCGGAAUUACUGGGCGUAAAGCGCGCGUAGGUGGCUUGAUAAGCCGGUUGUGAAAGCCCCGGGCUCAACCUGGGAACGGCAUCCGGAACUGUCAAGCUAGAGUGCAGGAGAGGAAGGUAGAAUUCCCGGUGUAGCGGUGAAAUGCGUAGAGAUCGGGAGGAAUACCAGUGGCGAAGGCGGCCUUCUGGACUGACACUGACACUGAGGUGCGAAAGCGUGGGUAGCAAACAGGAUUAGAUACCCCUGUAGUC
rnacentral:rRNA from 1 species